rnacentral:tRNA from 1 species
AGGGGAUGUAGCUCAGUUGGCUAGAGCGCUUGACUGGCAGUCAAGAGGUCGUGGGUUCGAAUCCCAUCUUCUCC